UACAGAGACUGCAAGCGUUAUUCGGAUUCACUGGGCGUAAAGGGUGCGCAGGCGGCCGUGUGUGUCAGAUGUGAAAGCCCGGGGCUUAACCCCGGAACUGCGUCUGAAACUACAUGGCUAGAGCAUUGGAGAGGGAAGUGGAAUUCAUGGUGUAGCAGUGAAAUGCGUAGAUAUCAUGAGGAACACCAGAGGCGAAGGCGACUUCCUGGACAAUAGCUGACGCUCAGGCACGAAAGCGUGGGUAGCAAAAGGG
rnacentral:rRNA from 1 species